rnacentral:sRNA from 1 species
GUGGUAUAUUAGUAAUUGAUAUAGCUUCUGUAUUAUCUGUAUUGAAUUUGAUAGAAAAUGGUAAUUUUUCUUUAGUGGAAGAUUUGAUGAAAUUUAUUCUUUCUUUUAGAGUUUUAGGAUCAAUUGGAUAGUUAAAAGCUAUUCUCGUUUGGAUAAAUUUUUUAGAAAUAUCGAUAUUAUCUUGUAGAUAAUUCAUUUCUUUAAUCAUAGAAAGUAGCGGUAAAGUCGUGAAGCUUAUAUUAUUUUUUUUUAAACUAAUAAAAU